AGUGAAGACCAGUUCAGCAUUAACAGAAAAUUUGCUGUCUAACAAGUUGCGCUUCGAUGCUAGAAUCUUAUCAAGAAAUGGACGUGAUGCUUGCAGAGAGCUGAUCGGAUUCUUCUUUGGCUUUGAUAAUUCUCUGACAGUUUAUGAAUAUCGUCAUUUUGGCAAAAAUAGAUCAAAUGCACUUCCAUUUAUUCAGAAGGGUCAUCAGCAUGGAAGAAGAAAAGGAAUGCAGUACCGAAUUUGAGAUUUCUAUGUUGUAAGUACGGCAUUAUUAACUAGGUGGUAAACAUACCAAGAACACGUUUUCUUGUGGAAAGCUUUGAUAUUUUACGAUAUUAGCAGUGUAUUGUUCUACAAUAUGUUCUGCAAUAGUGUGUUACAAUUCCUGUUCAUUCAUGUUAUAAUUUAUGACAUUGUGUUCACAUGUUCACACUGUUUAUCUAAAUGUAAACAAGGGGCUAACAUAACUUUCGCCACAUCUGGACAAAAUCUACCUGAAAGUAUUAGACAGAAGCCAUCCUUCACUAUUCGGCUUACUAAUGUGGGUGAAGUUCCCAAAAGUAUGCUACUGUAAGUUGAAUAUUUGCUUCCUCUUUUUUUAUCUUCUUUGUCAUUAACAUAUUUAGUGUGCAGUAUUACUUUAUCUAUGUAAACUUGGACAAUACACACGGUCUUGCUUAAUGAGUAAGU